rnacentral:rRNA from 1 species
GUGUCAGCCGCCGCGGUAAUACGGAGGUGGCGAGCGUUAUCCGGAUUUACUGGGCGUAAAGCGUCUGUAGGCGGUCGGGCAAGUCGGUGGUGAAAUCUCCCGGCUCAACUGGGAGGUGUCCAUCGAAACUGCUCGACUCGAGGGCCGGAGAGGGGCAUGGAAUUCCCGGUGUAGCGGUGAAAUGCGCAGAUAUCGGGAGGAACACCAGAGGCGAAGGCGGCGCCCUGGCCGGUACCUGACGCUGAGAGACGAAAGCGUGGUGAGCGAUCGGGAUUAGAUACCCCGGUAGUCCACGCCGUAAACGAUGGGUGCUCGGUGUUGGUCCCGUACAGGGGUCAGUGCCCAAGCUAACGCGAUAAGCACCCCGCCUGGGGACUACGGCCGCAAGGCUAAAACUUAAAUGAAUUGGCGGGG